CUAAGGUAGCGAAAUUCCUUGUCGGGUAAGUUCCGACCUGCACGAAUGGCGUAACGAUGGCGGCGCUGUCUCCACCCGAGACUCAGUGAAAUUGAAAUCGCUGUGAAGAUGCAGUGUAUCCGCGGCUAGACGGAAAGACCCCGUGAACCUUUACUGUAGCUUUGCACUGGACUUUGAGCCUGCUUGUGUAGGAUAGGUGGGAGGCUUUGAAGCGUGGACGCCAGUUCGCGUGGAGCCAUCCUUGAAAUACCACCCUGGCAUGCUUGAGGUUCUAACUCUGGUCCGUGAUCCGGAUCGAGGACAGUGUAUGGUGGGCAGUUUGACUGGGGCGGUCUCCUCCUAAAGAGUAACGGAGGAGUACGAAGGUGCGCUCAGACCGGUCGGAAAUCGGUCGCAGAGUAUAAAGGCAAAAGCGCGCUUGACUGCGAGACAGACACGUCGAGCAGGUACGAAAGUAGGUCUUAGUGAUCCGGUGGUUCUGUAUGGAAGGGCCAUCGCUCAACGGAUAAAAGGUACUCCGGGGAUAACAGGCUGAUACCGCCCAAGAGUUCAUAUCGACGGCGGUGUUUGGCACCUCGAUGUCGGCUCAUCACAUCCUGGGGCUGAAGCCGGUCCCAAGGGUAUGGCUGUUCGCCAUUUAAAGUGGUACGCGAGCUGGGUUUAGAACGUCGUGAGACAGUUCGGUCCCUAUCUGCCGUGGACGUUUGAGAUUUGAGAGGGGCUGCUCCUAGUACGAGAGGACCGGAGUGGACGAACCUCUGGUGUUCCGGUUGUCACGCCAGUGGCAUUGCCGGGUAGCUAUGUUCGGAAAAGAUAACCGCUGAAAGCAUCUAAGCGGGAAACUUGCCUCAAGAUGAGAUCUCACUGGGAACUUGAUUCCCCUGAAGGGCCGUCGAAGACUACGACGUUGAUAGGCUGGGUGUGUAAGCGUUGUGAGGCGUUGAGCUAACCAGUACUAAUUGCCCGUGAGGCUUGACCAU
rnacentral:rRNA from 1 species